rnacentral:lncRNA from 1 species
ACUUUUAUUUUUGGAUUUUGGUGAUUAUGCUUUGUUGGUCAUCGAUGAGCAUUGUCCAUCUUCCCUUUUGUGUUGUCGAUGAUCAGUAAACUGUAGAGCAGAGUUUGCUUGUGUUAAGGCAGUAUUAGAUACAGCAUCUGUAACUGUAUCUGAAGGAAUGAUCACACAGUCUUGUUGUAUCCUGCCAUGGUUAUAUAUACUCAAAGUUGAUGUUUUUUUAAA